rnacentral:miRNA from 1 species
UCUGUGUAGUUCAGGCUGGCCUUGAGCUCACUUUGUAGCCCAGGCUGGUCUUGAACUCACAACAAGCCUCCUGCCUCAGCCUCCUGAGUGCUGGGAUUAUAGGCAUGCGCUACCAUGCCC